UUGACAGCAAAUACACAGAUGAAAUAUUUAUCAAGUAUUCAACACAUCUGGCUUUUCCCUCUUGGGCUGCGUAUCUGGGACACCAGCCGUGAUUGUACACCGCAGCAAACGCAUGUUCAGGAUGGGUGAAGAAGGGAAAAGUUCUUGUCUCCGUAUCAUCCGCAGUACAGUUUAUUAGUCAUGGAAAACUCUGAUUUUGGCAUCCUUUCACACCGACACAGCCAUGCUAAAUUAGCUGAGAAGAAUCUCAGAAUGCUGGAGUUUUGUAACCAGGCAGAAUAAUUCCAAAAAUAUCAUCAAGGAGCAUACGGGAUAUUAAGCGUUCUGCUUGGUUUCUGCAUCCACUCCUGGAGAAGUGUGUUCUGAGGACCUCCCGUCUACCACUCGGCUUUGCCUUUAGUAGUACAGUUGAACCUAGAGAUUUGCUCCUGAGAGAAUACCACAAAGAUGAAGGAAUAUCGCUUCCAAGACUAGGCUGCAGAAGGACCAUGGCUCCUGCUGUUUGCCUGUGCUCACUGCGUCCCUCACCCUAUGUCCAGGACCAAGCUGUCUGUGAUUCACCAAUGGCAUCAUGUGCAUUGCUGUGUACUAUUCCAUUGCUUGGAUAUAACCAGGUUGGUUUAUCCAUUCGUCAGCUGUCGACUGUGUGAGUUGCUGCUUCCUAGUGGAUAUCAUAAGUGAAGCUGCCAUGGACACUCAUAUGCAGCCUUUAUCCUCUUGAAGAUGAAAAAAAGCCCUACUAGAGAAGCAUUUGAGAAAUGGCUAGGUGCAUGCAUUUUCAUGUUUACAACUGUGUUACUCUGAUUUUUGGGACUGCAACAUCAGAAUCCACCUCACAAGAGCUCAAGUGAAAAACAAAUUCACUGCCUCGUGUAGGGCCAAGUCCGCAGGUGCAGCUGCAUCACCCAGAUGCCAAGGUUUCCGUCAUCAUCCUGGCUUCUUUUCAUCCUGAGUCCCCUUUUCUCCCACUGCAAAUAGACUUCAUCUGGGGGCUAAGAGAAUGGCGACCCAUGCCUCAUCAACCCCAAAAGAAAGACUGUCGUUCAACUGCAGGAAAGUUCAUUUAUUGCAUCACCCCUUAAUGUAUUAUCCCUUUGUAUUAUCAGGUGACACUGACGGCACCAUCCAGAUCCCAUGGAAGGGGGCAGGCUCUCCAGGGAGGGUGGCAGUGGUUCCCAAACAGGGAGCAGGGUUGGCUUUGGCUUUCUGGCUGCACACCUUCUCUUCUACCUGUGCUUCUCCUACUGAGCCUACGAGGAAAAUGUGCUGGGAGUCAAAAUGAACAAAAAGGAACAAAUGGACAAAGGAAGAGGAAAUGAAGAGGAAUGAGCGUACACAGGAAUAUGUUUUAGAAAGCAUGAAGGACAUAUUUCUUAUCACACAGCAACAAAACAGUGAAGUCUAAAAGGUGAAGCCAGAAAAAGCUAUCUGUGGCCAUCUAUUCUUUGGAAAAAUACAAGGCAAUUUUAUUUUACUUAAACAUGAGCAACAGAAAAAAAGACCAUGGUCAAAAUUCUUACAAUAUUCUUAUCAGAAAAAAAAAGUAUUAAAAAGAGUAGAAUAACAUUUUUUAGACAGUGAAAGCAUAGGAGGACAUGCUGAAAAAGAUGAAAAUUGUAAUCUAAUAUUUUAAAACAAGCCAAAAUAAGGCUAGGAAGGGCUAAAAUCUAUGAAAAACAACACGGGGUGGGGAAAAAUGGGGUGUUUGAAAAUAGGAAUAUUUGAAAUAUUGUUAAUGGAUUACCUCAGAAAAGAAUAAGAUAUUUAAAAAAAUCAUUUCAGAAACUAAAAUUAAACUACAUGGAAUAUAAGAUCAAACAAAGACAUAUGUAUUUUUAUUGUGCAAGAGAUCGAACCCAGGACAUGUGCUUUACGACUGCACUACAACUCAAGCACCAUGUAUUCAUUUUAAAAAGGAGAUUAAAACGGGGAAGAUUUAAAAAUAAAAAGAAAUAAAGAGAUAAGAUAUGAGAGAAAAUUGUACGUAGAAGGUAGGCAACAAAGUUGAAAUAUAUGUAUAAUAGAAGUUCCUGAAAAAGAAAACCAAUCAAUGGAAAAGAGCAAAUGCUAAAAACCAAUUCAAGAAAACUUACCUUAAACAGGAAACUUCAAAAUUUCAUCUUGAAAUCAAACAUUGUCUACCUGAGGAAAACUCAGAA